rnacentral:rRNA from 1 species
CAUAGCAGCCAUAUCACCCUGCAGCCCAAGACUGGUUGCCCACUGAAGCUAAGCAGAGUUGAGCCUGGUCAGUACCUGGAUGGGAGACCUCCCAGGAAAACUAGGUUGCUGUUGGAA